AUAGAGUCAAGUGAAUAAGUGCAUCAGGUGGAUGCCUUGGCGAUGAUAGGCGACGAAGGACGUGUAAGCCUGCGAAAAGCGCGGGGGAGCUGGCAAUAAAGCAAUGAUCCCGCGAUGUCCGAAUGGGGAAACCCACUGCAUUCUGUGCAGUAUCCUAAGUUGAAUACAUAGACUUAGAGAAGCGAACCCGGAGAACUGAACCAUCUAAGUACCCGGAGGAAAAGAAAUCAACCGAGAUUCCGCAAGUAGUGGCGAGCGAACGCGGAGGAGCCUGUACGUAAUAACUGUCGAGAUAGAAGAACAAGCUGGGAAGCUUGACCAUAGUGGGUGACAGUCCCGUAUUCGAAAUCUCAACAGCGGUACUAAGCGUACGAAAAGUAGGGCGGGGCACGUGAUCCUGUCUGAAUAUGGGGGGACCAUCCUCCAAGGCUAAAUACUCAUCAUCGACCGAUAGUGAACCAGUACCGUGAGGGAAAGGCGAAAAGAACCCCGGGAGGGGAGUGAAACAGAACCUGAAACCUGAUGCAUACAAACAGUGGGAGCGCCCUAGUGGUGUGACUGCGUACCUUUUGUAUAAUGGGUCAACGACUUACAUUCAGUAGCGAGCUUAACCGAAUAGGGGAGGCGUAGGGAAACCGAGUCUUAAUAGGGCGAUGAGUUGCUGGGUGUAGACCCGAAACCGAGUGAUCUAUCCAUGGCCAGGUUGAAGGUGCCGUAACAGGUACUGGAGGACCGAACCCACGCAUGUUGCAAAAUGCGGGGAUGAGCUGUGGAUAGGGGUGAAAGGCUAAACAAACUCGGAGAUAGCUGGUUCUCCCCGAAAACUAUUUAGGUAGUGCCUCGAGCAAGACACUGAUGGGGGUAAAGCACUGUUAUGGCUAGGGGGUUAUUGCAACUUACCAACCCAUGGCAAACUAAGAAUACCAUCAAGUGGUUCCUCGGGAGACAGACAGCGGGUGCUAACGUCCGUUGUCAAGAGGGAAACAACCCAGACCGCCAGCUAAGGUCCCAAAUGAUAGAUUAAGUGGUAAACGAAGUGGGAAGGCCCAGACAGCCAGGAUGUUGGCUUAGAAGCAGCCAUCAUUUAAAGAAAGCGUAAUAGCUCACUGGUCGAGUCGGCCUGCGCGGAAGAUGUAACGGGGCUAAACCAUGCACCGAAGCUGCGGCAGCGA
rnacentral:rRNA from 1 species